GACGAACGCUGGCGGCGUGCCUAACACAUGCAAGUCGAACGGAAAGGCCCUGCUCUUGUUGGGUGCUCGAGUGGCGAACGGGUGAGUAAAACGUGAGUAACCUGCCCUUGACUUUGGGAUAACAUCAGGAAAAUGGGGAUCAUAUCGGAUAGGAGAUCUUGCUGCAUGGUGGGGGUUGGUAAGUUCCGGUGGUUUGGGAUGGACUGGAGGCUUAUCAGCUUGUUGGUGGGGUAGUGGCUUACGAAGCGUUUGACGGGUAGCCGGCCUGAGAGGGGGGACGGCGACCAGGGUACUAAGGUAGGGCCCAGACGCGUACGGGAGGCAGCAGUGGAAAAUAUGGCGGAAUGGGGGGAAGCCAGAUGUGACAGCGUCGGGUGCGGGAUAAUGUGCUUUGGGUUGUAAACCGCUUUCGCAGGUGACGAAGCGUGAGUGACGGUAAUUAGUAAAGAAGCACCGGCUAACUACGUG
rnacentral:rRNA from 1 species